UCAAACCACAGAGGAAUUGCAGGUGUGGCUACUGUGUCACCUGUGCGUCAGUAGGUGGCAGAAAAAAAAAAAAAAAGGCUAUGUCCACACUCAGUGUUCUGACGUGUGAACAUCUAAGUAAUUAGUAGCCUCACACU
ensembl:snoRNA